UGUACAGGUUACAGAGUUUUUGGGGUUGUUGUAUUUGUUUGUUUGUUUGUUUGUUUUGUUUUUUGGGGAGGUAAAUGAUAGUGCAUCUUUAAAUUACACGCUAGCAUGAAUUUAAUGACAAAAUUAAGAACCUUAUCAUCAAAAAAGCAAAGUAUUUCGUGCCUUCAUGAAGUCAAGAAGAAGAGCACCUACGUUGUGUUUUGGCGACAUCUAGGAGGCAGCUUCGCGCCACUGUGUGACCUCUGAGACAACGCUGCCUGUAUGAGACUGUACCUCGCCGUUGCCGUGGUGAUGCUCGUGGUCGGGGCGCAAGCAGUCCUUAAACAGAGACACAGGUGCCUCCUGCAGUUCUAGCGAUUGCCACCUUUCACCAAAAAGUCGUGGAGCUUGGAUCGGAUUUGUCGGAUAAGGCCGGAGAAGCUGGAGGAGAGCGAGUUUGCUACUAAGACCAAGAGUUGGCUCGAUGAGCAGGUGACUAAGUUAAAGGACGCCUUCAGCAAGUAAACCCACCACAACCCAAGACGGGAUGAUCUGCUCACUUUUUGUAUGAUCUGUGCAAUAUCUUGUCAUUUUCUGUCAUUUUCCAUCAUCGUCAAGUGAUCUCAUACUGUCAAAUUCAAGAAAUGUGCCAAUAAAUACUGAAAACAGUGAGAAAGAACA